AUUGAACGCUGGCGGAAUGCUUUACACAUGCAAGUCGAGCGGCAGCACGGGGGUAACCCUGGUGACGAGCGGCGAACGGGUGAGUAAUACAUCGGAACAUGCCCAGUCGUGGGGGAUAACACUUCGAAAGAAGUGCUAAUACCGCAUACGUCCUGAGGGAGAAAGCGGGGGAUCGCAAGACCUCGCGCGAUUGGAGUGGCCGAUGUCAGAUUAGCUAGUUGGUGGGGUAAAGGCCUACCAAGGCAACGAUCUGUAGCUGGUCUGAGAGGAUGAUCAGCCACACUGGGACUGAGACACGGCCCAGACUCCUACGGGAGGCAGCAGUGGGGAAUUUUGGACAAUGGGGGCAACCCUGAUCCAGCCAUUCCGCGUGAGUGAAGAAGGCCUUCGGGUUGUAAAGCUCUUUCGGCAGGAACGAAACGGUGAGCUCUAACAUAGCUUGCUAAUGACGGUACCUGAAGAAGAAGCACCGGCUAACUACGUG
rnacentral:rRNA from 1 species